rnacentral:rRNA from 1 species
UACGUAGGGGGCAAGCGUUGUCCGGAUUCACUGGGCGUAAAGGGUGCGUAGGUGGUGAGGUAAGUCGGAUGUGAAAUCUCCGAGCUCAACUCGGAAACUGCAUUGGAAACUACCUUGCUCGAGGGUUGGAGGGGGGACUGGAAUGCUUGGUGUAGCAGUGAAAUGCGUAGAUAUCAAGCGGAACACCAGUGGCGAAGGCGAGUCCCUGGACAACUCCUGACACUGAUGCACGAAAGCUAGGGGGAGCAAACAGG